UGGGGAAUUUUGGACAAUGGGGGAAACCCUGAUCCAGCCAUCCCGCGUGUGCGAUGAAGGCCUUCGGGUUGUAAAGCACUUUUGUCAGGAAAGAAACGUCAUGGGUUAAUACCCCGUGAAACUGACGGUACCUGCAGAAUAAGCACCGGCUAACUACGUGCCAGCAGCCGCGGUAAUACGUAGGGUGCAAGCGUUAAUCGGAAUUACUGGGCGUAAAGCGUGCGCAGGCGGUUCGGAAAGAAAGAUGUGAAAUCCCAGAGCUCAACUUUGGAACUGCAUUUUUAACUACCGGGCUAGAGUGUGUCAGAGUGAGGUGGAAUUCCGCGUGUAGCAGUGAAAUGCGUAGAUAUGCGGAGGAACACCGAUGGCGAAGGCAGCCUCCUGGGAUAACACUGACGAUCAUGCACGAAAGCGUGGGGAGCAAACAGG
rnacentral:rRNA from 1 species